UCUCAUAGCAUUGGGCCAUUGCAAUCCAUAACCGAGAAUCAUUAGGCUGCAAGAACACUGACUUCUUAAAGUAAUUAAGGGCAUAAUAGGGCAUUCCCAUCAUCUCAUAUGCUUGCCCUAACCCAUACCAGGCUCGAUAAUCACAUGGGUUUAUGUCCACAGCUCGCCUAUAGGCAUCAACUGCUGCUGGAGUGUUUUUCAUCUCGACAUAUUGCCCAUACCAGGCUCGAUAAUCACAUGGGUUUAUGUCCACAGCCCGCCUAUAGGCAUCAACUGCUGCCGGAGUGUUUUUCAUCUCAACAUACUCAUGACCCAUAAGUGUCCAAGCUGACAAAUAAUUUUUGUUUAAUUUGAGGGCCCUCCG
rnacentral:lncRNA from 1 species